rnacentral:misc_RNA from 1 species
GAAAUGCGAUAAGUAAUGUGAAUUGCAGAAUUCAGUGAAUCAUCGAAUCUUUGAACGCACAUUGCGCCCUCUGGUAUUCCGGGGGGCAUGCCUGUUCGAGCGUCAUUACAACCCUCAAGCUCUGCUUGGUAUUGGGCCCUGCCGGCACCCGGCGGGCCUUAAAAUCAGUGGCGGCGCCACUCGGCUUCAAGCGUAGUAAUUCUUCUCGCUUCGGAGACCCGGGUGUGUGCUAGCCAGCAACCCCCAAUUUUUUCAGGUUGACCUCGGAUCAGGUAGGGAUACCCGCUGAACUUAA